rnacentral:misc_RNA from 1 species
CAAUGCCACCAUUCUAACACCACUCUCAUUCUCAAGAUCGUCUUUUGAAGAUGUAGUAUCUAUCAGUGCCUUUAGAGAGCAAAAUGACAUGCAGAGAUUAUCGAGCCUUCCAGAGAAAAUAAAUUCUUUAACAGCACCACCUAUUAUACUCGGUUGGGUAUCACAUGCUUGUAAUUCAAAAUCACAUAUAUCAUCUGGUUUGCAGCCAAGCUGACUUGCAAUCAUCUCUAGUAGAAGUGAGUGAUGCUUUGAGUAAAUGGUAGAUUUCUUCCCAUCAGUUUCAUUUCCGAUGGGACCAUUUUCCUCAACCACUUUAUUGAGCUCUGCCUUAACAGAAGUUGCCAAUAUAGGAAUAAGAUGAUUCUGUGUGUUCACCUUAAACCCAUCAUUAUUGACGUUCCUGUCUAAGUGAAUUGCCAGGGUGGGCACACGCAUAAUGGGCUCCUCGAUUCUAACCAGACGAUGUGAAAAGGAAAUAGAGCCAUCCUUUUCUUCUCUUACUAUCACCCGUCCUGCCACUGCCAAAUCACGAUCAAACCAUGUAUGCCAUAAACCACUUCCAUAUAGCUGAACUCCAACCUCCAAAAACCCACCCUUCGUUACCUUGGAAAUAGGCUUCAACUUAAUGCAAGGACUAUCAGUGUGAGCACCAACCACAUAAAAUCCAUUUCCAGCAACGUAUCUUUUACCAAUGGCAAAUGCAACAAUGGUAGAGUGAUUCCUAGUGAAGAAAUAUCGCUUGCCGGGUUCCAGCUUCCAAUCUUCUCUCUCAGAAACUUGCACGUAUCCAACAUUUAUCAAACGCCUCUUUGCCUCAUCAACGGCGUGAAAAGCUGUAGGAGAAGCGUUUAAGUAGUGGAUGAGAUCGGAGGCAACAGAGCUCGCUUCACUGUAAGUUUCUUGCUUCGCCAUUUUUUAAAGAAAAAUAAAUAUUAAUUUGGAUUGAUAGCUUGAAAC